rnacentral:rRNA from 1 species
UAAUACGUAGGGGGCAAGCGUUGUUCGGAAUUACUGGGCGUAAAGGGCGCGUAGGCGGCACGGCAAGUCGGGAGUGAAAGGCCUGGGCUCAACCGAGGAACUGCUUUCGAGACUGCCGAGCUAGAGUGCGGAAGGGGCAACUGGAAUUCCCAGUGUAGCGGUGAAAUGCGUAGAUAUUGGGAAGAACACCUGAGGCGAAGGCGGGUUGCUGGGCCGACACUGACGCUGAGGCGCGAGAGCCAGGGGAGCAAACGGG